GUGAGGAAUAUUGCGCAAUGGAGGCAACUCUGACGCAGCCAUGCCGCGUGCAGGAAGAAGGCGCUACGCGUUGUAAACUGCUUUUAACCGGGAAGAAACCCCAGGACGUGUCCUGGGUUGACGGUACCGGAGGAAUAAGCACCGGCUAACUUCGUGCCAGCAGCCGCGGUAAUACGAAGGGUGCAAGCGUUAUCCGGAUUCAUUGGGUUUAAAGGGUGCGUAGGCGGAGCGUUAAGUCAGUGGUGAAAUCCUGCAGCUUAACUGUAGACUUGCCAUUGAUACUGGCGCUCUUGAGUGCGCUUGAAGUGGGCGGAAUGUGCCGUGUAGCGGUGAAAUGCUUAGAUAUGGCACAGAACACCAAUUGCGAAGGCAGCUCACUAAGGCGAUACUGACGCUGAGGCACGAAAGCGUGGGGAGCAAACAGGAUUAGAAACCCGUGUAGUCC
rnacentral:rRNA from 1 species